UUUCAGAUUCUCUCCGCCUGUGGCGCUCAGUUCCUUCUUCGUGGUCGCUGGGGAGAACCUGCCGCUGUGCUGACUGUGCUCUUCCGGACACAAUGUCCAUGACGAGUGGACAAAAUUUGGAUAAUUCUACCUUCUCCUGAAGUACUGGAUGCUGCUCAGAGGAUUUUGGGCACACGUGAACAUGUGGCUGAUCUGCUUUUCAAGGUGUUGGGUCUGGGAAUUGAACCGUGGUUGGCCAUGUGGGAUCCAGCUGCAUUAAUCCUUAUACUAUG